rnacentral:rRNA from 1 species
CAGAGGGUGCGAGCGUUGUCCGGAAUCACUGGGCGUAAAGGGCGCGUAGGCGGCCUGAUAAGUAGGGGGUGAAAUCCUGUGGCUUAACUGCAGGGCUGCCUCCUAGACUGUCGGGCUCGAGCACGGUAGAGGCAGAUGGAAUUCCCGGUGUAGCGGUGGAAUGCGUAGAGAUCGGGAAGAACAUCGGUGGCGAAGGCGGUCUGCUGGGCCGUUGCUGACGCUGAGGCGCGACAGCGUGGGGAGCAAACAGGAUUAGAUACCCUGGUAGUCCACGCCGUAAACGAUGGACACUAGGCGUCGGGGGGAGCGACCUCUCGGUGCCGUCGCUAACGCAGUAAGUGUCCCGCCUGGGGAGUACGGCCGCAAGGCUG